AAGAAAAGAAAAGAAAAAGAAAAAAGAAAAAGAAUUGGACCAGCAAACAGCUGAAGUACGAUUGAAAUUACAUCGGUUCCCCCUCAAACUGUGAAGCACUUUAUAGUCCAUAAACUAAGCAUGCAGAGACUUCCUGAAGAUCGAGAUGCUCAUUGGGUUGACUUGGCAUGACUCUGGUGGGAUGUAGAUGAAGUCUUCAUUCAGAAGGUUAAAAUAGUGUCUUCGAUGGGAAGUUUGAAUUAUGUAACAAACAAUGUCAGGUUUUCAGAAUCUUCUGCAAAAAACUGCUGCUGUGACCCUGAGAAGAAAGGGACACUCAAACACAGAGAAGAAUCAGCUCCUGUUGAAUUUCCAGAAAGUCAGUCACUGUCCUCCAUCACAAAGACUGAAGGAGGUGCUCCUUUCAUUUUGUAAUUCUCCUUUGCC